rnacentral:rRNA from 1 species
AUUGAACGCUGGCGGCAUGCCUUACACAUGCAAGUCGAACGGUAACGCGGGGCAACCUGGCGACGAGUGGCGAACGGGUGAGUAAUGUAUCGGAACGUGCCCAGUUGUGGGGGAUAACUGCUCGAAAGAGCAGCUAAUACCGCAUACGACCUGAGGGUGAAAGCGGGGGAUCGCAAGACCUCGCGCAAUUGGAGCGGCCGAUAUCAGAUUAGGUAGUUGGUGGGGUAAAGGCUCACCAAGCCAACGAUCUGUAGCUGGUCUGAGAGGACGACCAGCCACACUGGGACUGAGACACGGCCCAGACUCCUACGGGAGGCAGCAGUGGGGAAUUUUGGACAAUGGACGCAAGUCUGAUCCAGCCAUGCCGCGUGCGGGAAGAAGGCCUUCGGGUUGUAAACCGCUUUUGUCAGGGAAGAAACGCUCCGAGUUAAUACCUUGGGGUAAUGACGGUACCUGAAGAAUAAGCACCGGCUAACUACGUGCCAGCCGCCGCGGUAACAC